UUCAGUCUGUCAAAGUAAGUUGUAUCAAAUAGGAAGUGUUUAAAAAAAAAAAAAAUCCUAUGUUUGCACACUGUAGGAGACCUCUACCUAGCAACUCAGUUUGUGUAUAAUAUGUAGAAAUACCACCUGUCCCAUCUGUCCCAUCAGUAAGGACAGAGCACAGCCAGUAGCUGUACAAAAACCACAGGGGAGCUUUACAGCAGUGCGAGUGGAGCUGGUGCGUGGUUACAGAGGAUGCCUCUCACUCUGAACUGAAUGGCCUAAAAGCUUCUGGGAAAGAAAGUAGUCUCAAAUAACCAGCUCCUAGCAAUUUGUGCCAUAAAUGGAGGGGAGACACUCUGAUAGUAAAACUUGUUUAUUUACAGUGUUAUGUUUUACAGGAAAAUCCAUUUAAAAACUCACUGCUUCUUUUUCUUCACAGUUGCAGCAUUUUGAAGAUGUUAAGACAGAUCUGAGGGUUUUAAAACGUACCUGAUUCCAGCCUUCCUGGCUGGCCUGGAUCUGCAUGGUGAGACCAUCUUGUUGGUGGUUGUGGUUUUUUCUCCUUUUUUUUCACCUCAGCCCUUUGAGCUUCAAGUAAGGCAUUUAUUUAUUUUAUUUUAUUUUUUCUUAAUGAGGUUUGAACAAAACAAAAGAUGAUCAAUUACUGUGGAGUUGGUUGCCAUAAUGUACUUUAAGGUUUAGUAUGUUUAUGUUAUCCACAUUGGUGGUUAAAUGCCUUGCCUUCAAAAGGUUAAGAGACUCCAUACAGCCUAACAUCCAUGCUUGGACAUGCAGCCUCUUGUCAUGGGACAAGACUUCCUGCCUUUGUGCCUACUGUCUCCAAGACCCCCUCCAGUGAAAGAUCAGCGCAAGAGGAAAACUGGCUUGAGAGGUGGAGGAAGAUCAGAGGAGCAGGACUUGGUGGAACAACUUUCUCUCCAUGAAUCCGUUUGAAGCAGCAAAGUAGUUCUUAUGGAAUCCGUUCUUGACUUCUGCUGUGACAGGGGCUUCCUUUGCUGCUGUUCUUGAAGGUGCUUUCCGGAGAGAGAGAGUCUGCUUACCUUAAUGUAAAAGUUAACGAAGAGGAUGACCAGUGUGGCCAUGUAGGAAGACUGGAACAUGAGGCAGCCAAAGGGAAACCCACACGGCUUCACAGCUGCACUGAGCGUGUGCACAAUGGUGUCUAGAGAAAUUGUUAAAACCAGUUUUCUUACUGAUUGUUUCCCAUCUUGACCUUGGUACCUCGAAAGGAUGAACAGACAGAACACGGAGGAGCUGAGGCAGUUGAAAACUAAAUCUACCUCCUUAUGUGUGUGCUGAAAUGACCCAGUGGGGACCCAUACCUGUUCUCAGCUUUGCUCCGGUCUACCCUAAUUAGCACUGGAUUGAUUCAGUGUCUGGUUGGCUUUUCACAGCAAGCGUCUUGCAGUCCUGCUCGGUGCUACACCCGCUCAGCCCAUAUCUGGGAAUGAGGACCCAGGCGGAGAAAUACCUGCCUUACAGCCUCUGUCAGGACUCAGAUCAGGUUGAAGCACCAUCAGUGUCAAAAAUACAGUUUUCUGAUGUAUUAACUUGAAGAUCUGAACAACAGAAUGUUGAUGAUAAUAUAUCUCACAAUGGCUUAUUGAGUCAAGUGCAAGAUAAUUUCAGAUACUAUUUGAAUGGAAGCUUACAAAAUCUCUACCACUAAGGAAGGAAUAACUGCACUGAAAACAAAAGGUUCUCAAUAUUGCCUUUCACUGAAAUGGAAAGCUACUGGUAUUUCUCAGAGCAAUAAAACUAAAUGCUACUCUUUCUAUAUCUAUGCACAUAUUUCCUAAUUUUGAGCCAAUAUCCAAAUGCGUUUCUGCUCUCAGAAAUCACUAGCUGUGUCUUAGCUUUCAAGGGGAGUGUGAGCAUCCUGUGAUGCUUUUGACACAGCAGAAAAAUAAAAAUCUUAGCCUAGGUAACUAUAGCCUUCUGCAAGAAAAGAGAAGUUUGGAAAUUAAACAGAAUACCACAAAACCAGAAAAAAGUUAUAUACUUUGACUUCCAUGGUUUUUGGCAUGGAUAGA